GUGUCAGCAGCCGCGGUAAUACGGAGGGAGCUAGCGUUGUUCGGAAUUACUGGGCGUAAAGCGCGCGUAGGCGGCUUUGUAAGUUAGAGGUGAAAGCCCGGGGCUCAACCCCGGAACUGCCUUUAAGACUGCAUCGCUUGAAUCCGGGAGAGGUGAGUGGAAUUCCGAGUGUAGAGGUGAAAUUCGUAGAUAUUAGGAGGAAUACCAGUGGCGAAGGCGGCCAUCUGGACCAAUUCUGACGCUAGAGUGCGAAAGCGUGGGGAUCAAACAGGAUUAGAAACCCUGGUAGUCC
rnacentral:rRNA from 1 species